UUAUACAUGCAAGUCGUACGAGGGCUUUUAGCCUUAGUGGCGGACGGGUGAGUAACACGUGAGAAUCUGCCCUUAGGAGGAGGAUAACAGCUGGAAACGGUUGCUAAUACUCCAUAUGCCGAGAGGUGAAAGGAUUUAUCCACCUAAGGAGGAGCUCGCGUCUGAUUAGCUAGUUGGUAGGGUAAUGGCCUACCAAGGCGACGAUCAGUAGCUGGUUUGAGAGGAUGAUCAGCCACACUGGGACUGAGACACGGCCCAGACUCCUACGGGAGGCAGCAGUAGGGAAUUUUCCGCAAUGGGCGAAAGCCUGACGGAGCAAUACCGCGUGAGGGAUGACGGCCUGUGGGUUGUAAACCUCUUUUCUCAAGGAAGAAGUUCUGACGGUACUUGAGGAAUAAGCAUCGGCUAACUCUGUGCCAGCAGCCGCGGUAAUACAGAGGAUGCAAGCGUUAUCCGGAAUCACUGGGCAUAAAGCGUCUGUAGGUGGUUUGGUAAGUCUGCUGUUAAAGACUGGGGCUCAACCCCAGAAAAGCAGUGGAAACUGCCAGACUUGAGUGUGGUAGAGGUAGAGGGAAUUCCUAGUGUAGCGGUGAAAUGCGUAGAUAUUAGGAAGAACACCAAUGGCGAAGGCACUCUACUGGACCAUAACUGACACUGAGAGACGACAGCUAGGGGAGCAAAUGGGAUUAGAUACCCCAGUAGUCCUAGCCGUAAACGAUGGAUACUAGAUGUUGCACGUAUUAACCCGUGCAGUAUCGUAGCUAAGGCGUUAAGUAUCCCGCCUGGGAAGUACGCUCGCAAGAGUGAAACUCANAGGAAUUGACGGGGGCCCGCACAAGCGGUGGAGUAUGUGGUUUAAUUCGAUGCAACGCGAAGAACCUUACCAGGGCUUGACAUGUCACAAAUCUUUCUGAAAGGAAAGAGUGCCUUCGGGAAUGUGAACA
rnacentral:rRNA from 1 species